rnacentral:rRNA from 1 species
AACGUAGGACACAAGCGUUAUCCGGAGUUACUGGGCGUAAAGGGCGUGUAGGCGGCGUGUUAAGUCAGCUGUGAAAUCUCCAAGCUUAACUUGGAACGGUCAGCUGAUACUGAUGUGCUAGAGUGCAGAAGGGGCAAUCGGAAUUCUUGGUGUAGCGGUGAAAUGCGUAGAUAUCAGGAGGAACACCGGCGGUGUAGACGGCUUGCUAGACCAUAACUGACGCUGAGGCACGAAAGCGUGGGUAGCAAACAGG